rnacentral:tRNA from 1 species
UAGGUAGCACAGUAGUUAGUGCACCUGGCUUGGAGUCAGGAAGACCUGAGUUCAAAUCUGACCUUA